UUUUGUCUAACAUUGUCCCAAGUUGUUGACAAUUGUCAAUCAUUUACGUGUUUGUGAAUCACCUUGAUCUCUUUAAACGACGAUCGUGAUCGUACAUUAGGAUUCCCCGAACAUCGCAUUGCUGUAAUUACACCACGUUUACGAUAUCUAUAACACGUACAUAUAUAUAUAUGCUGACAUAUACGAGAACACGGUGAAUUAUGACUAAAUUAUUCGUUCUUUGAUUUCCAAUUUCCACGAUAUAAAAUUAUAGAUGUAAAAUUAUCAAAAAUGUAAUAUACAAUGGCUACAAAAACUAUUCAUACUUGUAUUUUUCAUAUUAUAUUUAUAUAUUACAUAUUAUAGUUUGAUAUGAAACUUAAUAUGCUAGUUCUUAAUUAAUUAAUACGUAAAUACUAUAAUAAGCAAAAUGAUGUAAGAAUACUUUUUAUAGUCACUGCAUAUUCUUCUUUGAAGUUGCACUGUAAAUAUUUAAUAGUAAGUGAGAUUAUUCGUCUUGCAGCACGAAAGUCUCGAGACGUGACGAUAAUCGCACAUUUCAAAAUAUAGAAUCACCUGAAGAACAAAGUAAACACCAAGCGUGGAAACAUAUCGUAUGAAAGUUAAUGUCUUGAAAUUUCGAGCCAGUUAUCAAAUUUGUAGCAAUGCUACAAUUGAUUGAGAGAUUGAUUAUCUUAAUUAGGACCUCAUGCUAUCUUAAGUCUCAAAGUUUUCGUGUCGGUAAUAUCGACCAAUUGAAAUAACCUAUAAGUGUUUUUGUUUAUAACUGUCAUGUCGUAUCACACUGUCAAACACACUAUAUAACGAAAAACGGGAAGUAAUUUAGAACCACUUACAAAUCUAUAAGAUCUUAUAUAUCUUAUCAAAUGAUCUAAUAUAUGAGUUUUUUUAUUUUUCUUUCACCUCUAGAAAUAUCUCUCGAGUCUUUAUCAUUUUAUUUCUGUGAUGUCGUAAUUAAGCGUUAUCGAUCACGUCAAUCGAGUACUGUGAAAUUUUAUCGGAUAAACCUGCGAAUUGAUCGAUAUUAGAAUUUUCGGUGACAUUGGCGCGAUAGGGAGCCAAACAGAUUAUGUAGAACCCAGGUUGGUCAACGUGACAAGGUUACAGACCAAUUAAGGAGAGACGCAGUGGUACCGUGUCCCCAUUGCGCGAUCCCCCUCGAACGAGCCUUUGCGUAAUGUCUUUAUUUACAAACCAUAUGCGAACCAUAUAGCAAUUUCACCAACCAGGCUACUGAUGCCUGACACCAGGUAAGGCCGACGAUAUGUUCCGCGUGUCUUUAGCCAAAUUUACAUUUUUUAGUUUUCGAUAACCAUUGAAAAACACUGUUUUUGUCCAAAAUGACCAUGAAUUGAGCUGAUAUAGUGUACUAUAGCUUUCAUCUUUCACAUUCACUGUAGAUGAGUCAUUCACGAUGAUCCUCCAAAACGGUAGGUGUAAAUUCAGCUUGAAUCGCCGAUCGAACCGUAAUCAUUGAUAAACGACCAUAAUCUGAACCGUUCCCUAUGUAAAGUGAAGUAAGUUCAUAGAAACUUGUAAACUUACAGAAUUUUUUAAGAAUGAUACCACCUCUUUAUGAAUCGUAAAAUUAACGGUGUAUUGUGAGCUUUAAGAGAAAGGAAAAGGAAAUAAGAAAAAUGGAGGUGAAGCUGUAGAAGAGAAAAAUCUAAAUUUCAGAUGAACAAGUUUCGAAUAAACAAACAUUCAAUGUAAAAAUAGUAUGACUAUUCAUCCAGAUUUCGUCAACGUCAUGCAUUGUUUGUCACGUGAAUUUUAUAUUUGAAAACAGCGAUAAAUUAAAAUAUUUUAACACUGUUAUCUAAAUCAUUGAUCCAAUUGAAAAUUAAUCGAUCCAUGAAAUUUAUCUUAUUUUAAUCAUUCUUAAAAAUUUAGUCACUUGGGUCACCUGUUAACACCGCAAUAGUCAACAUGUUAAACCGGAUUAAUCUCGAUCAAUCCGGAUUAUCGGGAUUGAAUGAUCCAAAUCCGGAUUAUCGAGUUCCGUAUUCAUUUUAUUAAUUAUGGAAAAAAGGAGAAAUGAAAUUUCAUUGAUGUAAUUAUAAUUUGUAAGAAAUUAUUUGGAUUAGCGAAACUCGAUUGCGCAUGAUGUCAGACUGCGAUUAAUGUGCAAACACAUUUCGAUCGGACGUCUCGACAAAGUAUUUGUUAUACAAACAUAAUCUUCUAUUGAACAAACUCGUGAUUCAAAUAUAAUAUUUAUAUAACAAAUCAAGCAAUUAUUAUACAUGCAGUUAUAGACAACUUGAUAUCAAUUAAUCAAGAAUUUCAGCGGCGGUCCUUUCUACACAAUGUUUGUUGCACUACCGGAGUAUAUCGCAUACGUGUUACGUACAUAUGUGAGUAUCGAUGGCAACUCGUUGAUCCUUGAAAUCUAUAUUUUCACUUUUAUAACCGUCGUCAUAAAAAGGGAACAAUAACGACGUAACGAGAACGAGUUAUAAAAACAGAUAAAACAGAAAAAAUGAACUCAACACAGUGGAAUGGAAACAAUGGUAAAUAAUUGAAAUGCCUUGAGAAAAAAUUUAUGUGUGAACAGGUAUAGAGAUAACCGUAAUUAAAUCCGCUUUUUCUACGAACAGACAAUUAGCAUUACGUGACAUCCAGAAAAACCAAAAUAUUUCGCGAAGUUAAUCUCUUGCAAAAUUCUUUUUAGCUGAUACGUAUUCUUAGUUGGAGUAUCAAAUAUUACACACGUAGCCAGGUAUGCGGAUUGAAAGUAUGUACUAAUGAAGGAGAAAGGAGUUUUUUUGUAUCUGCACUACACAACUACAGAGUAAAUGAAAAUCAUGCACGUAACAAACGCUAUACACGUAAAUACGGAUCACGUAACGUAUAAUCUUACUAAAAAUUCUUUUCUUUUAAAGAAGUACUGUCUUGAUCAAUGGUCAGCGUAUCUCCAAUACUUCUUAGUGUUACUGUCUCACUUCAUUUCUAUAUCUAUCUUAGACCACGUAGCAGAAUUCUUGUAAGCCAUUACUGGCAUGGACCAGAUUCAGUUCUAAUCUGUGAUCAGUUAGAAAAGCAAUACUAUAUCUUCUAAAACCUAUAUUUUUGAAAGUAGCUGAUAUCUUUUAAAUCUUAUGUUCGAUAAACUGACAAAAUAAAUCAAUGACGUUCCGAUGAAACAAAUAAAUUACUCAAAUUAUCACUCAGAUUUAUUAAUUAAUUUGUUAUAUAAUUCAAUAAUAAAAAUUGAAAGAUUGCAGUUAAAAACAGGUGACAUUUGGUCUUCUUAUCAUAUCGCUCCAUUUGCAAACUUGGAUAAGAAAUCUAAGAAUAAUAUAUCGUCGUUCUUAAUCGUAGAAUUAUGAUUAAAAAUAAAACUGCAUUUUUUAUUGCAAAUCGUUAAUCAUGUUAAAUGAAAGUAGAAUAUUGUCAAUUUUUACCAUUAAUUACCUAUCACUCUAUUUACACGAAACUGACAUAAAUGAAUAAGCAUCCUUUGAGUUUCUUCAUUCCCGAAAAUGAACAAUUAAUAUUUUAUCUCAGGUUUUGAAGUGUCUCAAAGAUAGGCUCGAAUGAUUAAAAUAAGAUUAUCAAAAAUAUAUUCUGAAAUACAUACGAAAUAAAGAUAAGUUGAUAUCAAA